CGAACGGGUGAGUAACGCGUGAGUAACCUGCCCUAGAGUGGGGGACAACAGUUGGAAACGACUGCUAAUACCGCAUAAGCCCACGGUACCGCAUGACACUGAGGGAAAAGGAUUUAUUCGCUUUAGGAUGGACUCGCGUCCAAUUAGCUAGUUGGUGAGGUAACGGCCCACCAAGGCGACGAUUGGUAGCCGGACUGAGAGGUUGAACGGCCACAUUGGGACUGAGACACGGCCCAG
rnacentral:rRNA from 1 species